UUUCUUAGUUUAUAGAACACAGUUCAGGGGAAAAUUAGCUAAAGAAUAGUUUUAUAAUGAAGAUUUAAUAGAUUUGACAUGGCUAGAGGGCAUACCUGGUUUCUAACUUUCAUCUUCUAGAAUGUUUUUUCUUUACUUUAAUAGUGUGCAACUAUAGUAAAUUCUUGCUUUUCAAAGCAAAGAAGAUGUGAAGCUGCAAUAGCAAUGAGUUGCUAGAAGUCUACGGAGAAGAUUUUGGAAAGAGACAUGAAUUCCUUAAUUCAUACUCUAGAGAAAUCCCAAACCUCAAAGUUUCAAGACUUUGUUUGUUAAAAGCACAGAGAAACAAUAAACCUCAACAGGAAAAAGGAGCAAGUUGUGAAACCUUAACAAGAUCUCCAAGGAAGCUUAGACAAAAAGGUACAAGGAAGACUUCUGGAUGCAUUCAAAAUUUAGAAGAGUAGAAGAGUUGGAAUGCCAUACCUACUUGAUUAAGGAUUCUUCAGGACUGCAAGUCAAGCUAUUCACUGAAUAACAAUUAGUUGAAGAAAACUCAGUUUCUGUAAAGAUAAACCUUAAGAUUCCAUAUUAAAAUGAAGUUUCAAGAUGCAAAUGCUGUAUGGUAAU